AUUGAACGCUGGCGGCAGGCUUAACACAUGCAAGUCGAGCGAGCGGCGGACGGGUGAGUAAUGUCUGGGAAACUGCCUGAUGGAGGGGGAUCACUAAUGGAAACGGUAGCUAAUACAGCAUACCAUCAGAUGUGCCCAUAUGGGAUUAGCUAGGCGGUGGGGUAAUGGAUCAACGAGGAGACGAUCCCUAGCUGGUCUGAGAGGAUGACAAGCCACACGGGACCUGAGACACGGUCCAGACGCCUACGGGAGGCAGCAGUGGGGAAUAUUGCACAAUGGGCGAGAGCCUGAUGCAGCCAUGCCGCGUGUGUGAAGAAGGCCUUCGGUUUGUAAAGCACUUUCAGCGAGGAGGCGUUACUCGCAGAAGAAGCACCUGCUAACUCCGUGCCAGCCGCCGCGGUAAUAC
rnacentral:rRNA from 1 species